rnacentral:rRNA from 1 species
GUGGGGAAUAUUGGGCAAUGGGCGCAAGCCUGACCCAGCAACGCCGCGUGAGGGAAGAAGGUUUUCGGAUUGUAAACCUCUGUCCUUGGGGACGAAGGAAGUGACGGUACCCGAGGAGGAAGCCCCGGCUAACUACGUGCCAGCAGCCGCGGUAAUACGUAGGGGGCGAGCGUUGUCCGGAAUGACUGGGCGUAAAGGGCGCGUAGGCGGCCGAUUAAGUCUGGAGUGAAAGUCCUGCUUUCAAGGUGGGAAUUGCUUUGGAGACUGGUUGGCUUGAGUGCGGAAGAGGUAAGUGGAAUUCCCAGUGUAGCGGUGAAAUGCGUAGAGAUUGGGAGGAACACCAGUGGCGAAGGCGACUUACUGGGCCGUAACUGACGCUGAGGCGCGAAAGCGUGGGGAGCGAACAGGA